UACAGAGGUCCCGAGCGUUGUUCGGAUUCACUGGGCGUAAAGGGUGCGCAGGUGGCUUGGCAAGUUUGAUGUGAAAGCUCAGGGCUUAACCCUGAAAUGGCAUUGAAUACUGUUGAGCUGGAGGUUUGGAGGGGGGACUGGAAUUCUUGGUGUAGCAGUGAAAUGCGUAGAAAUCAAGAGGAACACCAGUGGCGAAGGCGAGUCCCUGGACAACACCUGACACUGAGGCACGAAAGCUAGGGGAGCAAACAGG
rnacentral:rRNA from 1 species